AGUUGGUGAGGUAAAGGCUCACCAAGGCGACGAUCUGUAGCGGGUCUGAGAGGAUGAUCCGCCACACUGGAACUGAGACACGGUCCAGACUCCUACGGGAGGCAGCAGUGGGGAAUUUUGGACAAUGGGCGCAAGCCUGAUCCAGCCAUGCCGCGUGAGUGAAGAAGGCCUUCGGGUUGUAAAGCUCUUUCAGCCGGGAAGAAAACGCAUGGGUUAAUACCCUGUGUGGAUGACGGUACCGGAAUAAGAAGCACCGGCUAACUACGUGCCAGCAGCCGCGGUAAUACGUAGGGUGCGAGCGUUAAUCGGAAUUACUGGGCGUAAAGCGUGCGCAGGCGGUUUGUUAAGAUAGGCGUGAAAUCCCCGGGCUCAACCUGGGAACUGCGUUUAUGACUGGCAAGCUAGAGUAUGGCAGAGGGGGGUGGAAUUCCACGUGUAGCAGUGAAAUGCGUAGAGAUGUGGAGGAACACCGAUGGCGAAGGCAGCCCCCUGGGCCAAUACUGACGCUCAUGCACGAAAGCGUGGGUAGCAAACAGGAUUAGAUACCCUGGUAGUCCACGCCCUAAACGAUGUCAACUAGGUGUUGGGAGGGUAAAACCUUUUAGUACCGGAGCUAACGCGUGAAGUUGACCGCCUGGGGAGUACGGCCGCAAGGUUAAAACUCAAAGGAAUUGACGGGGACCCGCACAAGCGGUGGAUGAUGUGGAUUAAUUCGAUGCAACGCGAAAAACCUUACCUACCCUUGACAUGUCCGGAAGCCCUUAGAGAUUUGGGUGUGCUCGAAAGAGAGCCGGAACACAGGUGCUGCAUGGCUGUCGUCAGCUCGUGUCGUGAGAUGUUGGGUUAAGUCCCGCAACGAGCGCAACCCUUGUCGUUAAUUGCCAUCAUUUAGUUGGGCACUUUAACGAGACUGCCGGUGACAAACCGGAGGAAGGUGGGGAUGACGUCAAGUCCUCAUGGCCCUUAUGGGUAGGGCUUCACACGUCAUACAAUGGUCGGUACAAAGGGUCGCCAACCCGCGAGGGGGAGCCAAUCCCAGAAAGCCGAUCGUAGUCCGGAUCGUAGGCUGCAACUCGCCUGCGUGAAGUCGGAAUCGCUAGUAAUCGUGGAUCAGCAUGUCACGGUGAAUACGUUCCCGGGUCUUGUACACACCGCCCGUCACACCAUGGGAGCGGGUUCCGCCAGAAGUAGGUAGCCUAACCGCAAGGAGGGCGCUUACCACGGCGGGGUUCGUGACUGGGGUGAAGUCGUAACAAGGUA
rnacentral:rRNA from 1 species